GUAAAAUCGAAUUGAUUUUGUUCUAAUAAGUAAUCUUGUGUGAUGGCUGGACUGGAGGAAUUGAAGAAGAAGCUUGUGCCUUUGUUUGAUGCUGAUAAGGGUUUUUCACCUACCUCUACAUCCGAUCCUUUUGAUUCGUACUCUCUAUCGGAUGCCGGGACAGUGAAUUUGUUGAGUCAAUCGUAUGGAGUAUACAAUAUCAAUGAACUGGGAUUACAAAAGUGGCCUGUUGAUGAUACAGAUCAUGGUGAAAAGACAUAUAGAUGUGCUUCCCAUGAGAUGAGGGUCUUUGGUGCCAUAGGUGCUGGCGCCAGUAGUGUUGUUCAGAGGGCAAUUCAUAUUCCAACUCAUAGGAUUAUUGCUUUGAAGAAGAUAAAUAUUUUUGAGAAGGAGAAAAGGCAGCAACUCCUUACUGAAAUAAGGACAUUGUGUGAGGCACCAUGUUACCAAGGUCUUGUUGAGUUCUAUGGAGCUUUUUAUACUCCUGAUUCUGGGCAAAU
rnacentral:misc_RNA from 1 species